rnacentral:rRNA from 1 species
GAAACCCAGUGUGAUUCGUCACACUAUCAUUAACUGAAUCCAUAGGUUAAUGAGGCGAACCGGGGGAACUGAAACAUCUAAGUACCCCGAGGAAAAGAAAUCAACCGAGAUUCCCCCAGUAGCGGCGAGCGAACGGGGAGGAGCCCAGAGCCUGAAUCAGCAUGUGUGUUAGUGGAAGCGUCUGGAAAGGCGCGCGAUACAGGGUGACAGCCCCGUACACAAAAGCGCAUGUGCUGUGAGCUCGAUGAGUAGGGCGGGACACGUGGUAUCCUGUCUGAAUAUGGGGGGACCAUCCUCCAAGGCUAAAUACUCCUGACUGACCGAUAGUGAACCAGUACCGUGAGGGAAAGGCGAAAAGAACCCCGGCGAGGGGAGUGAAAAAGAACCUGAAACCGUGUACGUACAAGCAGUGGGAGCACCCUUUGGGUGUGACUGCGUACCUUUUGUAUAAUGGGUCAGCGACUUAUAUUCUGUAGCAAGGUUAACCGAAUAGGGGAGCCGGAGGGAAACCGAGUCUUAACCGGGCGUUAAGUUGCAGGGUAUAGACCCGAAACCCGGUGAUCUAGCCAUGGGCAGGUUGAAGGUUGGGUAACACUAACUGGAGGACCGAACCGACUAAUGUUGAAAAAUUAGCGGAUGACCUGUGGCUGGGGGUGAAAGGCCAAUCAAACCGGGAGAUAGCUGGUUCUCCCCGAAAGCUAUUUAGGUAGCGCCUCGUGAAUUCAUCUCCGGGGGUAGAGCACUGUUUCGGCUAGGGGGCCAUCCCGGCUUACCAACCCGAUGCAAACUGCGAAUACCGGAGAAUGUUAUCACGGGAGACACACGGCGGGUGCUAACGUCCGUCGUGAAGAGGGAAACAACCCAGACCGCCAGCUAAGGUCCCAAAGUCAUGGUUAAGUGGGAAACGAUGUGGGAAGGCCCAGACAGCCAGGAUGUUGGCUUAGAAGCAGCCAUCAUUUAAAGAAAGCGUAAUAGCUCACUGGUCGAGUCGGCCUGCGCGGAAGAUGUAACGGGGCUAAACCAUGCACCGAAGCUGCGGCAGCGACACUGUGUGUUGUUGGGUAGGGGAGCGUUCUGUAAGCCUGUGAAGGUGUGUCGUGAGGCAUGCUGGAGGUAUCAGAAGUGCGAAUGCUGACAUAAGUAACGAUAAAGCGGGUGAAAAGCCCGCUCGCCGGAAGACCAAGGGUUCCUGUCCAACGUUAAUCGGGGCAGGGUGAGUCGACCCCUAAGGCGAGGCCGAAAGGCGUAGUCGAUGGGAAACGGGUUAAUAUUCCCGUACUUGGUGUUACUGCGAAGGGGGGACGGAGAAGGCUAUGUUGGCCGGGCGACGGUUGUCCCGGUU